UUCCAUCAUGUGCCGCACGAAAAAAAAAUUGAGCAAUCUCAACUACAUAAUUUUUAUCUGCUAAAGUACGGGUUGUGAGAGACUAUGUGUUUUUUCUGAACUUUAUGUCUCAUCCCUUUGACUUCAGAGGUUAGAACAUUCAUAGAGAUUCCAUGGGUUUGACUAAGAGGUAGUUUGCCUCAUUCCAUGAUCACAAAAGUGGAGAAGAGGAGACUCAUUCAUCGUCGAAGAGACAUUUUCC
rnacentral:lncRNA from 1 species